UCUCCCUCGCACCCGGUGCAUUCUGGGAAGGAGGCUGUCUCGCAUUGGUGGCGACAAGCCGCUCUCUGCUCCGCCGCCUCACUCCAUCAAUCAACGGCAGGAGAAGGAAAGAGCAAAUAGAGGGGAUAUAUCUACGAAAGAGGAGUAAGAAAGUGGGAGGGGGAAAAAGGGGCGAGAAGAAUGGGGAAAAUAAGCAGGAAGGAUAGAGAUAUUGAGGAAAGGAUGGAUGAAAACCGAGGAAGGAAAAAAAAGGAACUCAUAACAAAGCACUGCAAAAAUGAAGAGAACAAGAUUCAUAUGAGCGCAGUGGCGGGCCAGUGCGACGGGAACGGAUCCAGCUCAGUAAAGUCCGGGGCUGCAGCCCGAAAAUACAGAAAGUAAGAGGAGCUAAACACUCCGUUGUGAUAGAUUGAUAUUUGGACAUUUUCCAAAGGGACUCGUCAGCCUGUAAGGUUAACGAAACUGCAUUUAUGACGCUAAAUGAACCAUCGAAUUCCAUCUUUUCGGAGGACGGCGGCAGCACACGGAACCUUAAGGACAUUCGCCCGGCCGCUGUUUUCAAUCCAUCUCUAUUUCCUGCACACCUAUCCGAGGCUGCUGAUCUCAGAACAGUGGGCCCUCGCUUUCGUUCCGCCCUCGGUGACUGAUACAAUGUUUGUUUGUGGGCUUUCCGCUCGUCGUGGGCGCCCGGCCUCUCCGUCCGUCCCUGUGCCCCUCCCAUCUGCUCCCGUUCUCUCUCUCUUUUCACUCAGUCUCCCUCUCUGAUCCACCUGCCCACCCUAUCCAUCAUCAUGCCACACGACCCACGUUGAAUUAUUAUUUCUUUGAUGUGUUACCAGUUGAAAACAAAUUCAUUUCACUGCCCAUCAAUUUAUCACUUGGGCAGUGGAUGGGAAUUCACACUCGAAUUGGAGGGGAAACUUUCCUUGUUUUCACUGUACUGUGUGUGUGUGUGUGUGUGUGUGUGUGUGUGUGUGUGUGUGUGUGUGUGUGAUAGAGAGUGAGACAGAGAGAGAAGGAGAGACAGAGAGAUGGAGAAAGUGUAAAAAGAGAAAAAAAGUGAGAGAUCCUUUCCUCUCUCCAUCUCCCUCCCAAACCUGAGGCCUGUGAUAAUUUAUCACUUCUCUCAGCUCGGCUGACAAACUAUUUGCAGGAAAAUGAGAUUUUCCAGCACGAUUUGUCCUUUGGGAUUUGAGGGGGAGCUUCUGUUUUCUUACUCUUACACACACACACACACACACACACACACACAGGUUCUCCCUCUUCUCGCGCUCUCCCUCCCUCUCUCUCUCUCUCUCUCUCUCUCUCUAGCUGAGGUCUCAAGUGUUUAUGGAGGUGUUUAAGAUAAAUGAGGUAAAUUAAUAGAGUCACUGAAGGGAGAGAUCCGCUUCCACACCAGCAAAUCUGCCAGUGACACUCUAAAGAGGAAGAGAGACCUCCCUCCCGCCCUGCUUCACCUCUCUCACGCUCGCUCCCUUCCCUUCUCUAAAAAUCACACUGGCCCAGUCUCCCUUUGCAGUAUCAUGACUCCUCUUCUCUCAUCUCCAGGCCGGCUCCUUCUCAUCCCUCCUCCGGACACAUCGUCCUCCCACCGUUCAAACAUGCCGGUCUUUACGUGAAUAACGUGUCUUUGGAUGCUAAGCCAAAGACAUAAAUACAUGAAAAUUCACAAGUAAAAUUUCACAAGUGAAAAGCACAUUAAAGAAUCUUGCAGAAGGAAAGUUUGGAAUAAUUUCCUGAUUAGUUCCUGCUUGUGGGAACUCCUACAUGGAGCUGAGAGUGAAACAGCAGAGAGAUUGAUUGGCCGGUUCCACCCGAUGAGGGCGUACAUGACUUGCCUUUUAUGGAGAUUGAUUAUCAAUAAGUGUAUGACAACUCAUCAGAUCUCGGCAACCGGCUGAAAAAUAGCCCAGGAUCACGUGUUAAUUGUAAAAGUUGAAGCCAAAGCACCUUGCAAGCGAAGAAAACUACGUAUUUCCUAGUAACUUGGGUUCAUUUCACUAUUGUGCAUCUACUUUUGCAGAAGGCUCCUUCGUUGAAGUGUCCUCUUCGUGAAUCAUGAAAAACGGUGACAGUUUUGCACUUUGAUUCCUUAGUCUUACUGAGAUGCCUGCCUUUAUGGUAAUAUUUGAUCCCAUAGUGUCUCAGGGGGAGGGGGGUAUAGCCCCACUUUCACCCCUUCGUGACCCCGGCUGGCAGGUCUCACCUCCUCCUGGGUGUCGUCUGGUUCUGCUCAAGGGGCCCCGUCUCCAUCACUGCACCUGUGCCUUUCACAGAGCUACACUCCAUCUCCUGAAUUCUGCCUCUUCACCAUAUAUAUCCUGCUCAUAUAGUCCUACAGCUUAAGCUACAAACACCUGCUGGUUUAAAGCAUAGUUUAAUAGCUUAAUGCUUCCUUCCUAUACACUGUGAAACUCAUUAUUUAGUAUAUUAUUUAGAGAUGUUCCACUUACCUGGAGUUCUAUGCCUGCUAAAUGCCUUCAGCAGCAAAUAGUGUGUCAGGAUACCUCACUCCGAUGGGCCAAGAAAGUGAAUGGGGGGGGGGGGGGGGUUCUAGGGACAUAGAGGCCACUAACAGGGCUCAGCAGAGCCACAGCAGUGUCUCAGCUGGAGAGAAGGGGUCUGCCUUUAGCCCAAGGCCAUGUGUCCUCUGCAUAUGAAAAACACUGAAACUCCAGUCACAGCUUGCAUGUUGGAAUAAGUCCAUUACCACAGUGUGUCUGAAAAGACAGCCUCGUUUGUCGGACAUGGUUUUACCGGGAUGCCUAGAAUUUUCCUCGUUUUGAGCACUUUUCACUAAUGCAGAAAAGAAACCCAUCUCUGUGCUUCUGAAAUUAAGGCAGCACCCUGGCGAGCUGGGCACGAUCCCCAACGACCGAACGACCCACUGCAUUGACAGAUUGAAUGAAGGUGUGCUUCCCACAUAACAGAGAUGGUACCUUUAAAGUGGAGUCUGGGAGCCCCUGGACACCCAGGAGCCUCUCAUUGCUCAUCCCCAGUCCUGAGUCCCAAACUGGACAGGGCAUCUGACUCACCCACUGUGACGUCAGUCUCCAUGGGGACCGCCAGCUUGAUUGACAGGUGCCAGGAACGCUCUCACUGAACUUCAUGCCCAAAGCUGCCUGACUUACACAGUUUACCAAAAGUCACCAGCACACUCCAGUCUGCUUUUUCGUCCAGCAUUUUCAAUGUCACACCAAGACAAACGCUACCACUUAUUGUGGUAGUCCUUCAACUGGUCACAUGCUAACUGUGUGUAUUCUCUAAAUCACAAUUGGCUUCAGGCAAUAAAAACACGAUUUCUGUCAUGUUCAAUAAGACGACUGAGAGGUUCCAUGCUUUGAAAAUGUAUAUGCAAUUAUUUCUCCCAGGGUAACUUCUUUAACAGUCUUGCUCCUUGACAACAUAUUCCUAGUCCUGGGAUGCUUAUACACUGUGAGAACAUGGAGGCAGAUGUUGCAACAGCAGGCCUCCUAGGUACAACAGCCGAUCUUCAUCUUCGAGCUUCUGUUUCGUGCCUAAGACCAGCCGUCUGUGAACGUGAUGGUCGUGAAUGCAUUGUGGAUAGCUGAAUGCUCCACAGAAGGACACAAAUAAUCAUCAGUGGUUUCUUUUGCAGAUAUAAUAUGUUAUACAGAUCUUGAAUUUCCUAUUACAGUGCAUAUUUCAUUUCUGAUUUUGCAGUAAGCGGCUUGCCGUACCAUAUACACAGGCAUGCAUAUGCAAAUACACACAGCGAGCAAGCACACAUGCCAAAACUGUGGAACAAGUGAUACCGGAGAAUCAUACCUGUACCGACAACCCGUUUGUUUUGUGCCAUGCGACAAAGAGGUGGCGUCUUUCCACUUUCGUCUGCAGGAAGCGUGAACCCAGUGCAGCGGGACACACGGCUACCACCACCCCGCCAGCACAGGCCAUCGGCCCCUCCAGCACGAGACCCCAGAGUCUAAACAAACCCCGACUGUGGAGCAAGCAGGGCUCAAUGAGGGGCAGUCCCCUCUGUACUAAUGGCUAUUAACGCCUGUGCGCCAUUGUGACACGCACAAUAGUGGUCACGCUGGGAUUUUGUGAGCGCCUUGCUUGCAACAGUUAUUAGCCCCCAAAACCUAAGG